rnacentral:rRNA from 1 species
CGGGUGAGUAACGCGUAAAGAACUUGCCUCAUAGUCCGGGACAACAUCUGGAAACGGAUGCUAAUACCGGAUAUUAUGCUUUCUUCGCAUGGAGGAAGUAUGAAAGCUAUAUGCGCUAUGAGAGAGCUUUGCGUCCCAUUAGCUAGUUGGUGAGGUAACGGCCCACCAAGGCGAUGAUGGGUAGCCGGCCUGAGAGGGUGAACGGCCACAAGGGGACUGAGACACGGCCCUUACUCCUACGGGAGGCAGCAGCG